rnacentral:rRNA from 1 species
UUAAGCGACUAAGCGUACACGGUGGAUGCCCUGUCAGUCAGAGGCGAUGAAGGACGUGCUAAUCUGCGAUAAGCGUCGGUAAGGUGAUAUGAACCGUUAUAACCGGCGAUUUCCGAAUGGGGAACCCAGUGUGAUUCGUCACACUAUCAUUAACUGAAUCCAUAGGUUAAUGAGGCGAACCGGGGGGAACUGAAACAUCUAAGUACCCCCGAGGAAAAGAAAUCAACCGAGAUUCCCCCCAGUAGCGGCGAGCGAACGGGGAGCAGCCCAGAGCCUGAAUCAGUGUGUGUGUUAGUGGAAGCGUCUGGAAAGGCGUGCGAUACAGGGUGACAGCCCCGUACACAAAAAUGCACAUACUGUGAGCUCGAUGAGUAGGGCGGGACACGUGGUAUCCUGUCUGAAUAUGGGGGGACCAUACCUCCAAGGCUAAAUACUCCUGACUGACCGAUAGAGAACCAGUAACCGUGAGGGAAAGGCGAAAAGAACCCCGGCGAGGGGAGUGAAAAGAACCUGAAACCGUGUACGUACAAGCAGUGGGAGCACGCUUAGGCGUGUGACUGCGUACCUUUUGUAUAAUGGGUCAGCGUCUUAUAUUCUGUAGCAAGGUUAACCGAAUAGGGGAGCCGAAGGGAAACCGAGUCUUAACUGGGCGUUAAGUUGCAGGGUAUAGACCCGAAACCUGGUGAUCUAGCCAUGGGCAGGUUGAAGGUUGGGUAACACUAACUGGAGGACCGAACCGACUAAUGUUGAAAAAUUAGCGGAUGACUUGUGGCUGGGGGUGAAAGGCCAAUCAAACCGGGAGAUAGCUGGUUCUCCCCGAAAGCUAUUUAGGUAGCGCCUCGUGAAUUCAUCUCCGGGGGUAGAGCACUGUUUCGGCAAGGGGGUCAUCCCGACUUACCAACCCGAUGCAAACUGCGAAUACCGGAGAAUGUUAUCACGGGAGACACACGGCGGGUGCUAACGUCCGUCGUGAAGAGGGAAACAACCCAGACCGCCAGCUAAGGUCCCAAAGUCAUGGUUAAGUGGGAAACGAUGUGGGAAGGCCCAGACAGCCAGGAUGUUGGCUUAGAAGCAGCCAUCAUUUAAAGAAAGCGUAAUAGCUCACUGGUCGAGUCGGCCUGCGCGGAAGAUGUAACGGGGCUAAACCAUGCACCGAAGCUGCGGCAGCGACGCUUAUGCGUUGUUGGGUAGGGGAGCGUUCUGUAAGCCUGUGAAGGUGUACUGUGAGGUAUGCUGGAGGUAUCAGAAGUGCGAAUGCUGACAUAAGUAACGAUAAAGCGGGUGAAAAGCCCGCUCGCCGGAAGACCAAGGGUUCCUGUCCAACGUUAAUCGGGGCAGGGUGAGUCGACCCUAAGGCGAGGCCGAAAGGCGUAGUCGAUGGGAAACAGGUUAAUAUUCCUGUACUUGGUGUUACUGCGAAGGGGGGACGGAGAAGGCUAUGUUGGCCGGGCGACGGUUGUCCCGGUUUAAGCGUGUAGGCUGGUUUUCCAGGCAAAUCCGGAAAAUCAAGGCCGAGGCGUGAUGACGAGGCACUACGGUGCUGAAGCAACAAAUGCCCUGCUUCCAGGAAAAGCCUCUAAGCAUCAGGUAACAUCAAAUCGUACCCCAAACCGACACAGGUGGUCAGGUAGAGAAUACCAAGGCGCUUGAGAGAACUCGGGUGAAGGAACUAGGCAAAAUGGUGCCGUAACUUCGGGAGAAGGCACGCUGAUACGUAGGUGAAGCGACUUGCUCGUGGAGCUGAAAUCAGUCGAAGAUACCAGCUGGCUGCAACUGUUUAUUAAAAACACAGCACUGUGCAAACACGAAAGUGGACGUAUACGGUGUGACGCCUGCCCGGUGCCGGAAGGUUAAUUGAUGGGGUUAGCGCAAGCGAAGCUCUUGAUCGAAGCCCCGGUAAACGGCGGCCGUAACUAUAACGGUCCUAAGGUAGCGAAAUUCCUUGUCGGGUAAGUUCCGACCUGCACGAAUGGCGUAAUGAUGGCCAGGCUGUCUCCACCCGAGACUCAGUGAAAUUGAACUCGCUGUGAAGAUGCAGUGUACCCGCGGCAAGACGGAAAGACCCCGUGAACCUUUACUAUAGCUUGACACUGAACAUUGAGCCUUGAUGUGUAGGAUAGGUGGGAGGCUUUGAAGUGUGGACGCCAGUCUGCAUGGAGCCGACCUUGAAAUACCACCCUUUAAUGUUUGAUGUUCUAACGUGGACCCGUGAUCCGGGUUGCGGACAGUGUCUGGUGGGUAGUUUGACUGGGGCGGUCUCCUCCUAAAGAGUAACGGAGGAGCACGAAGGUUGGCUAAUCCUGGUCGGACAUCAGGAGGUUAGUGCAAUGGCAUAAGCCAGCUUGACUGCGAGCGUGACGGCGCGAGCAGGUGCGAAAGCAGGUCAUAGUGAUCCGGUGGUUCUGAAUGGAAGGGCCAUCGCUCAACGGAUAAAAGGUACUCCGGGGAUAACAGGCUGAUACCGCCCAAGAGUUCAUAUCGACGGCGGUGUUUGGCACCUCGAUGUCGGCUCAUCACAUCCUGGGGCUGAAGUAGGUCCCAAGGGUAUGGCUGUUCGCCAUUUAAAGUGGUACGCGAGCUGGGUUUAGAACGUCGUGAGACAGUUCGGUCCCUAUCUGCCGUGGGCGCUGGAGAACUGAGGGGGGCUGCUCCUAGUACGAGAGGACCGGAGUGGACGCAUCACUGGUGUUCGGGUUGUCAUGCCAAUGGCACUGCCCGGUAGCUAAAUGCGGAAGAGAUAAGUGCUGAAAGCAUCUAAGCACGAAACUUGCCCCGAGAUGAGUUCUCCCUGACCCUUUAAGGGACCUGAAGGAACGUUGAAGACGACGACGUUGAUAGGCCGGGUGUGUAAGCGCAGCGAUGCGUUGAGCUAACCGGUACUAAUGAACCGUGAGGCUUAACCUU